CAAAUUAAAGCUUAAGUUAAGUAUUUCAUUUACAUUGAAAAGAUAUUAAUUAUUAUUAAUUAAUUUGA
rnacentral:tRNA from 1 species